GGCGGCGGCGCCGCGGCUCUCCGCUCUCGCUCGCUCGCUCCCAGGCCCGGCGCCUCGGGCCCGGCUCGGGCUCGACCGAAGUCUCCUCCGCUUCCCGGCCGUCCUCCGCGGCGCCUGGCCCGGGCGGGCAGCUCGGAAGGAGAGGCGGCGGCCCUCCGGUCGUCGUCGCGUGUUGCCAGGCCGGGUGACUCGCGGUCGGGAGAGGGCGUGGGCGCGGGAGGCGGCCGGACUUCGCUGCUGUGCUCCAAGGCAGGCUCCUCCGGAACCAUCUCUUUGAAGACUCCGCGCCCGCCAGCUUGGGUGUCCGGCGGGACCCGAGCAAAGUUUGUUCCAGCACCUUGCCUCACCCUGAAUGCGCUGCUUGGAAAACUGUUGGAGGAGAGAGAAUCUUCAGUGGGUUCCAUGUGGAGCCUGAUGUAGGGCUCAAUCCCAUGACCCUGGGAUCAUGACCUGAGAUGAAAUCAAGAGUCGGAUGCUCAACUGACUGAGCCACCCAGGCGCCCCUGUGCUGUAAUUUUUAAUUAGUUUUCAUCUCAGCUAAACUCCAGGGUGUCCUUGCCUGCCCUGAUGGCCCACUGAGAGGUUGCUGAGGGGAUUCUUGGAGCAUCAAAUUCCAAAGAGCUUGAGUCAGAAGAAGCUUUGCAGCCCAGGGCUGACUUUGAAGGAAGAGGGAGCAGGGGCGGCUGAUGUUACAGGUCUAAACGUUGGAUGAAGCUAUUCAUGGACAGGUCAUUUCCUGGCUGUAGGUCAGGGUGGGAACUGGACUCCUGCGUUCUGUGUUCCUUGCUGGAGACCAUGCUUGCUGGAAUCAAGUACCUGGGAGGAUGACAUCACAAAUGACCUGAAGCACUGUGCUGGUUAAUUUUAUGUAUCAACUUGGCUAGACCACGGUGCCCAGUUGUUUGGUGGGUGCCCACUUGGCCCACCAUGGUGCUAGACCAUGGUGCCCAGACACAGCCUGUUGCUGCGAAGGUAUUUGGUAUGUGAUUAGCAUUUGCAAUCAACUGACUUGAAGUGAAAGAGAUUACCCUCCAUCCAUAAUAUGGGUGGGCCUCACCCAAUCAGUUGAAGGCCUUAAGAGCCAAAAUUGAAGCUUCCUGGAUAGGAAGGAAUUCUGUCUUAAGAUUGUAACAUGGAAGAACUGCUUGAGUUUCCAGACUGCUGACCUGCUGUAUGGAUUUUGGUCUUGCUAGCCCCUACAGUUGUGUGAGCCAAUUCCUUAAAAAUCUCUCUCUACAUGUACACACACGUAUGUAUGUAGGGGUGUGUGUGUGUGUGUGUGUGUGUGUGUGUGUGUGUCUUUAACCUCAGGACCCUUGCCUCAGCCCUGGAUUUUGGUAAGAGCAUUGGGAAUAAGAGCCAUGAUGACAAAGAAGUCAGGUCUUCUCCACCAGUUCAAGUCUGUCUACACCAGGGGAAGACUCAUGUAGUCCCCAGGGGUUAAGAGGUUAAUAUGGAGCUUUUAUACAUCAGUUUAGUACAUGACAGUGGUGAACAACGAUGAAUUUUGGUGCUUCAUAUCCAUUUACCUUGUUAUUAAUAAUAGUUCUGAAUUUGCAUUUACAAAUACACUCGAAUUUUGUAACUUUGUAUGGUGACAGAUGGUGACUAAGUCUAGUGGUGUUCAUUUCACAGUGUAUGCAAAUAUCAAGUCAUUAUUGUUGUACACUUGAAACUAAUAUAAUGUCAUAUGUCAAUUAUACUUCAGUUAAAAAAAAAAGAAAUAGACUCCAUCUCUACUCAAUGUUCCUGUGAUUCCAGUGAGGCUGACCCAUCUGCUAACAACAAGGAUGGCGUUAGACCUAGGUUUAAACCAGGCUGUGUCCUGGCCAGUGUGAUUGGGUCAGGGAGGGGCACCUGCCCUAAUUCUGGCUAGUGAAAGUUAGGUCCAGCCUUUUUGUUUGAACUGGAUAGAAUAGAAAUAGACGGUCUCUAUUUUCUGCUGUUCUCAUACCUGGGAGGAGUGUAUUGAGCUGCAGCAGCUGUAUUGUCACCAUGAGCGGGGAGGCCAGCCUGAGAAGGAAGAUGCAGAACUGAAAGAUGGAGAGAGAGAAACCAGGUCCCUGUGACAUCAUUUGACUAUCUCCAUCAGCCACACCUGAAGUAAAACCUACUUCCUGGAUCUCUCAUUUACAUAAGUAAAUGUAUCCUUUUUUUUUUUUUUUUUUUUUUUUUUUUUUGCUUAAGACAGGUUGGAUAAGUUUUUUUUUUUUUUAAUCAAAAAAACCGAAGAAUGUUCAUGAUACCAUUAUAUACGCUACUGAUUUUUUUUUCUAAGAACAAGCCAGAUCAAAUAACCUGGCAUCUGAGUAGCAGGAAACAAAAUAAGGGACUGCUUGGCAUGAGAUAACAUUUGGAUAAAAACAGUGACUCAAAGAACAGGUUCUUUUUAGCUACACAUGCCUGAGAUGAAGGUCUUGGGCUACAUUGAUGCAAAAGUGGGAGCUUUUUCCUGCAGAAUUGCCUUCCUAGAGAAUAGGAUCUCUCUACAAUAGAAAAAUUCUUAGCUAUGGCUUGGGGGUGCUUGACAACCUUAAAUAGCAUUCAUGGGGUCAAUGGUUUUUUGUAUUUAAAAAAAAAUUUUUUUAAGUGUGUCUAUUUAUUUUGAGAGAUAGAGAGAGAACAAGAAGAGGAGGGGCAAAGAGAGGGAGAAAGAGAAUCCCCAGCAGGCUCUGUGCCAUCAGUACAGAGCCCGAGGCAGGGCUUGAACUCAUGAACUGUGAGAUCAUGACCUGAGCUGAAAUCAAGAGUCAGAUGCCCAACUGACUGAGCCCCCCAGGCCCCCCAGGGCCAAUGUUUUUUUUAUCUUCUAAUUAAUAGCCAAGUCUUUCUGAUCUUGUUGACUUUUAUGAAACACAUUGAUUUAACAUUAUAGCAAUAGACAUGAAUGCUACAGAAAUUCAGAGUAAAUGCUGAAUAACGCCAGGGCUGAGUCGACAGGGCCCUCUCUUAGUCUUCCGAAUUUCACUGCAGAGAUAAAAAUUAAGUUUGAUGCACAUUUAGUUUUAAAUCAGAAUACAGUAUUCCAUGAUCCUGUAUUUUGCCGUUAAUCCAGGUUACCUGUUUAUCUUACCUGUGACAAACUGAGGUCUGGGAGAAUCCAUUUUGUGUAUCCUGAGCAACUACCUAGCCUAGGACCCAGUAUUUAGCAGACUGCUACUAAAUUGUGGUUGAAUAAGCAGAGAAAGCAAUAGAUUGAUGAACAGCGAUGGCUUCUCCACUUUGGCUGGCCCUGACUAGCGUGUUCAUUCUGGCCAACGCUGCUUUCCUUGCCACGUGCUUCCACCCCGACUCCCUCCAGCGUCAGCUUCCAGGGUUUUGCCUAUACGGGCUCUCAGACACUGUGAUGUCUUGCAUGUUCACCCUGCCUUUUCCUGGGCUCAGUGCCAGAGACACCCGCUUUAUCAUAGCUCCAUUUUAUUGCCUCUCUGUACAGUGUGUUAGCCAUAAAAUUAAUUUACAAUACUUCUUUGGGGGCUGUAGAAUCUCUCUCCAAAGCAGUGCUGUGUCUCCUAAGGUACUUUCUGGGAAGUGUCCUGGUUGUGGGAUGCUUCGGUCUUCCCCUCUGGAAUCUGAAACACAGAAAUGAAGUCACAUAGACAAGUAAAAUUUCUGUUUGCCUGUCAGAUUACAACUUCCGUAUUGCUCGCAUAAUCUGAAGUCUUACUAGUUCUCCUUCUGCGGAGUCUUUUGUAUCUGCCCUGGUUUUCUAACCCCACAGCCAGCGGUGUGCUAGAGCCAACUGGCACCAACUUGCAAAGAUCCAGUUGUCAAAUUCUUGACAGCUUAAAAUUGGCAAUAUUUACACCGUAGAAAUCAGCAAAUGCUACAAAACAGCUCGUACCUCCCUCCACCCUGACCGAGAGCUGGUUGUUAAACAUUUACCAGCAUAGCACCAUGGAUGUACACAAACCUUUCCCUAAUUUAAGUCCUCAUUACCUCUUGCCUGGAUGGUUACAAUAUCCUACUAACCAGUAUCUCUACACCCAGACUUCCCAUUCCACAUGAUCAUUGUAGAAUACUUUCAACUACAAGUAAGAAAAGUCAACUACAGAUUUCUUCAAUAUAAGAAAAAUGCAUUAUUUCACACAAGGUGUUCAAACAUAAGACACUUUAAAAAAUGUUUACUUAUUUAUUUUGAGAGAGAGAGCACGCGUGCAGGGGAGGCACAGAGUGAGGGUGAGACAGAGAAUCCCAAGCAAGCUCUGCGCCGUCGGCCCUGAGCCUGAUGCAGGGUUGGAACUCACAAACUGUGAGAUCGUGACCUGAGCCAAAACCAAGAGUCGGAUGCUUAACCAACUGAGCCACCCAGGUGCCCCAAUACACUUUAAAGAAAAGUUUUUAAAUUUAUUUUGAAAGAGAGAGAGAAAGCAUACAGGGGAGGGUAAGAGAGAGGGAAAGAGAGAAAAUCCCAAGCAGGCUCCUAGCUGCCAGAGCAGAGCCCGACAUGAGGCUUGAUCUCAAGACCUCACGAUCAGGACCUGAGCUGAAAUCAAGAGUCAGACACUCAACCAACUGAGCUACACAGGAGCUUCUGAUAAGGCACUUUCAAGAAACCUCAGUGGCUCAAGAGCUCAAGUACUCAGAUUCUUUUUAUUUUUCCACUUUGCCACUCUUAGUGUGUUGCAUUUUCCCUUCAUGGGUUCAAGAUAACUGUCAUGGUUCAAAAACAUAUCACAUAUGAUGUGAUCACAAAAACAUACACAAUGAUGUGUGUAGCUUUUUCUUAUGUUUUUCUUAAAGAGCGAAUUCUCGGAAGGGACUUCCCAGAAGUCCCUCUCCACAGGCUUCCUCUUGGAUCUCCUUGGUCAGGAUCGCAACCUGUAUCUAUUCUUAAGUCAAUCAUUGCAAAGGUAAUAAAAUUACCAUGAUUGGGUCAGACCACUAAUUCCCAACCCCUUAGAACCAACGUCUCCUUCUGCAGCACAACACUCCUCUCUCCUGAAGUGGAAAUCAAAGAGAAUAUAAUCUACUCUCACAUAUACUUUAAAAACAAAGCAAUAUAAGCCCUUAUUGGAAUAUAAAGGUGAAAUAAAGAAAUAUAAUUUACAAAAAAACAUGCAUAUGCAUUUCAGUAUAUAUGGUACAUUGUAUUAUCAUGACUCCUGAUUAUUUCCUGCCUUCUCCAUCACAGAAUUAUACAUGCCAACCUGAUAGCAUGUGGCUUGCAGCACCUCACCCAAGUGAUGUCAGGCUUGCUUCAUGAUUUGCUUUGGCUAGUGUAAUGUGAAUGGAAGUGCCACACUCGGGCAGAGCUUGAAAAGCCAUCAUAUGGCUCCGCCGUUCUUUCCUUCUGCCAUAAGGAGAGCGUGUUCCAGACAGGGUCUGCUCCUUUGGCACUCAGACUAAAGACAUGUGCAUCGGGUUUCACCUGAUGUACAUAUGAAUAAAAAAUACAGCUUGUUGUUGCGAGCCACCGAAAUUGUUGGGAGUUUGUUACUGCGGUACAACCUAUCACAAGCUGACUAAUAAAUAUUGGCACAGCUAUUUCUACACCUAAAGAAGCAAUCUGCACUUUAUGUGUGUUUGCACCUACACAUAGCGUUACCAGGAAUCCAGCAGCUUCAGAGGAACACUGACACAAUCGUGUUGUAUCAACAAUUCAAAAACCAGGAAAAAGCAUCGCUAUCGGUGCCAUGAACUCUUGGUGAAGCUCUGAGUUAAAAAACAAAACGAAACAAAAAAGCAUCCCUCAAUUUACAGUUAUAUGCUAGCUGCAUUCUUGGAAUAUGCAAUGUAUAAUAAAUUUGGGCAGAAUUAGUUUUUGCUGGAGUCACAUAAUUGUGAAGAGAUAGUUCAGCUCUGCAAAUGCGUAGUGAUUCAUUUACAAGUCAUGGGUCCAUUUAUGUAAAGUUCAAAAGUAUGCAAAAUGUAUACGUGCUGUUAGAAGUUAGGAUAGGUAUAGGACUAUCCUCAGCACUAGGGGGUGUUCAGUUUGUGGAGAUUCACCGAGCUGUAACACACUUAUGGUCUGUGCAUUUUUCUGUAAUUGUGUUAUACAACAAUAAAGAACCUUUAAAGAGUCAUGUAGGGCACAGUACAAAUCUUUGAUGUGUGGAACUGUCUAGUAUUGACAGAUGUCUAGUAUUCCUGAUUCCUGUUUAUGAACUGUCAGUGGGGUCCCCUAAUCAUUAUGAUAGCCAAACUGAAACAAAACACCCUCACAAAUUUCUAUCAUGCUGAACCCCUGGGUGCCUUAUGUGAGUGGGGGAGAGGGGCAGAGGGAGAGAGAGAGAAUCCCAAGCAGGCUCCACAGCUUGGAGCCUGACACAGGGCUCAAUACCACAACCCUGGGAUCAUGACCUGAGCUGAAAUCAAGAGUCAGAUGUUCCCCUGACUGAGUCGCCCAGACGCCCCUAUUCUGCCUUUUGUAUCGUUGGUUGGCUCAUGUCUUUUGUAGCAUCCAUAGGUUUCGUAGAGUGAUAGACACCCACUGGAUACUCAAAAAUGCAUGCUGAAUUAAACUGACCAAGAACACAGCCUCUAUAUCACAGAAAUCAGCAAUCCAACAUCUAAAAUCUUUUAACUGGUUGAGACCCACAGUUGCCAUCUGGGUAACAUAUAGCUUUCCAUCAAUAGCCUCAGUUGUGAAUUAACUGUACUUCCCCUCACUGUAGUAGGAUUGUAUCCUGAACUGGGCUCUGGGAGGAAAAUGAGGAUGCUUGGCUUUCCUGAACCAUGGUAACUUUCCCGUACCCUCAUGCUUGGGCUCUGUCAAUGCACAGUAGAACCAACAAUACGACAGCGGUGGGGCCUGGUAGUAGCCUGGCUUUAGCAUGGCCAAGAUGGAGUAGGUGAGGGCAGGUGAUAUUUCAGUCACAAUUCAACAAGCGUUUAUUGAGUAUGUUAUUAUGUGCCAACUACUGUGUAUUAUGUGCUGGCUUCAACUAAUAAGAAUCCAUCUCUAUUUGGCCUAGCCAAGAAGGUGAUGUAUGUGUCCAGAUACCAGUAGGGAGGUACGGACAGGGGGUGAGAGGAGGAAGAACAUCUUUGGCGGGGAUAUGUAGGAGGACUAAUCAGAGAGAGUGGUGGUUGGGAGGGCCUUGUAGAUGGCCAGUAUUUGACUAAUUAGAAAACCAAUGGAGGAUCACUCAAAGUGGGGAAAAUAUUCAAGGGGGGUUGUUUACACAAUCUUCACCUCUUUCCUCUGAGUUAAUAGCAUGUGGCCUUAAAAGCUGGGAAUUCUUAGCUCUUCAUGGGAUUAAAAGAAUCUUUUCAUUGAAAUAAAAUAUACAUACAGUAAAAUGCAUAUGAGUGCUAAUCAUAAGUUUACAUCUUGAUGAUUUUUUACACAUGUACACACCCAUGUAACUAUGACUCUGAUCGAGGUAUACAUUUUCAUCACCCUGGUAGGUUUGGCUGACUUAUAUUAUCAGAAAGCAGUUUUGUCUUUUCUAGAAUUUCAUCUAAAUGGAAUUGUAAGAUGUUAGAUAUCAAUACUUGGCUCCUUUUUAUUGUUGAGUAACUUAAUGAAUAACUGUGUGAAUAUAUUAAAUUUGUCUAUCCAUUCUGUUGAGAGACAUAUGGAAUGUUUUUGCUCUUUGGUUAAUAUGAAUCAAGCUGCCAGGAACAUGUC